CUAACAAGAUGGAGAGACCACCCUAAUCUCAAUUAUGGAGCGAAACUCUCAUACAAACAAUCGUACCAACCGAGGCCUCCUCCUCGAUAGGCUCAAGCUUCAGGUAUGUCUCUAGAAGACAUUGUGAAUAAACUUGUAGCUGGUUCUCUUAAAUUUCAGCAGGACAAGAAAAGAAAGCGACAAUUCAAAACCUAGAAAGCCAAAUAAGCAAACUUUUCAUAUAGGUCGGUAGGUUGGAGUCCCAAGGGAAAUUGUCGUCCUAAACAGAACCAAACCCUAGACAAAAUGUGAGCGCAAUGACUCUACGAAGCGGAACAGUCUUGGAACCCCUUCCAAGCACGAGUCAUGGGCACAACGCUGGAUGAGAAAAGAAGAAAAAUGAACCAACAGUCGAGACAGAAUCGGGAGCGCAGAAAAUGGCUACAAUACCAUAUCCUUUUCCUGGAAGAUUGGCAAAAGAUAAAAAAGAAGGAAGAAUAUCCUUAAAACGUUAUGGAAAAUUGAGUUGGAAGUACCGAAUCGAUCGUUUGUCGUAUUUAAUUUACUGAAGAACACAUUGGCGUGUCCAAUUAAGUAGUUGGUUGAAUCCAUCAAGGGAAAUAGCAAUCAAUCUAAACAACCUGUUCGGUUGAGACCGUUGGUUCGAGUUGGACCCUUCUAGUUCACAAGGCUACCAGAGAGCUAAAUCGUGGAUGCGUGUUUCGUGGUUGUUCGUUCGGUAAGGAUAGUUGUUGGACAUUCACGCAAUUAAUUUACACACAAAACGUUUGGUGAUUUGAGGCGUCCUCAAUCACUAUAAUUGACUUGUCAAUUAAAGGAGAAGACUUAUUAUCAAGGAUCGGUUCGAAUAUUCGAGCUCGAAGCUAGAAUUUCUUCAUAUUGGUUUAUUUUAUUUAAUUUCAUUUCAUUUCUGUCUU